rnacentral:lncRNA from 1 species
CCAGUAACAUCCAUAACUUUGCGCCGACAGUAAAGAAGCUAAAUUGCAUGGCUAUCAUAUUGUUUUUUAUGUCUACAAGAGGAGAUCUUCUUUUUUCACAUCAGGUGAUUUCUAAUAUAUUUAUCUACUUGUACGUAAAAAAAAAAGAAAAAAAAAGAAGAAGAUAUUUAUCCAAAAGUUCAGGUACCCGAAAUUUACUCGAAUAUUUAAGUCUAAAGAUUCGAACCGACACCAAAUCCGAGAAAAUGUGAAUCUAUCCUAAAUUUCUCCUCGACUUGAAGGUAUGUCUUGAUAUAAUUGACAUGGACAUGGGGACUUGCACAUGUCUUUCUCUCUUUAACAACCCCGAAGCAGAUGCAAGGUUUGCUGUUUGACAUCCAUAUGAGGACUUGAAGGUUCUGAUAGUGGAGGAAGUCGAGAAACUUAUUCUGCUUGAUGACCUUGGACUCCAUGCUGGUAUCUGUUAGAAGUUUGCAACACCUUCGCACAUAGGAUAACGCUUAAUGUAUAAAUCAAACACAGCUUGUUAAUAGUUAAAUCUUGACCAAGAAACUCAAUUGGCUAAUCUAUAUAUAUUCAUAGAUCAUAGGCCAUAAGUUUGAAAAUUUAUUAGUGAAAUAUAUAUAUUUUUUUUUA